GAGGAGACUGCAUAGGGUGUGACUAUCAGGAACCAUGGCUCACUGGAGCACCAUCUUUGGAGUCUAGCUAACACAGCAUCUUGAGGGAAGACUCUGAUCCUCUCAUAAUUUACCUAUUGUUGAUUUCCUGAAUCUUUUUAAAUCCUUUGCAACUGAAGAUGGUCUCUCCAUCAGAGAAGCAAUUAACCAAAUGCCUGACUACAGCGUAUACAGCAUCUGUUAUAAAAGCAUAAAAGGUUAACUUAAAUCCUGGCACACAAAGGAGAUGUCAGACCAGAACAAAUCAGCGUGGAAAUACCUGGAGGAGAUACAAGGUUAAGGUGGAGCAUAUGUACAGUUAAGAGGAUGUUCAUGACUAGUGGAAUGUGUUUUUCAGAUUGCAAAGACUGGAAGGGCAGAGGACACAUUUUCUCAAGCUUGGAAACAAAAAAGAGAAUUGGAUGGGAAGAGUGACAUUUAAGUGUUGUUCCAGCAGUGUGCUGCAAGUGGAACAUAAUCUUCAGUAUAAAGGAAGAGAAAAAUGCAUGUGAUUGUCAUAGCUGAAACAGCCUUGUUACUUCGAAGAGAAAACUAGCAAACAUAGUAGCUAGGCCAUGUGAUACUGCUGAACUAGUGUCUGUCUUACUACAGAGGACAAUGAACAAGGGAGAUCCUACCGCAGGGCUGGAUCCGAGGUCAGCAAUUUGGCUGCCUAAAGAAUCCCACCUCUGCCAAGGUAUCAUGGCCCAACAAGGUGUAGAUGUACUAGGCAAAUGGCUACUGUGUUGUUGCCCAAUGCUGGGCCAUGAAUAGGAAUUCUGUGAUUCAAGGAUAUUAUAACUUUUCAAGUUGACAUUCAACCAUGAAAACAACACGCAAUUGUGCUUAAGCGGGCAAGAAUCUUCAAGAUCUUCUUUUGUAAAAUGAUCUUCUUUUUUCAUGAUGGCGAAAACCAGUCAACCAAGAGAUAAAACAAAAUAUAUAAAACUCAGAGAAAUUUUAUUGAAAGUGAGGUCUCUUCUAAGAUGUCUUGAUCGACUGACCCCAAAGCCAGAGGGUACCAGGUCAAAAAGCAAGUGGUUGAAUGAAAAACUCCAAUAACC
rnacentral:lncRNA from 1 species